UUGAAGAGUUUGAUCAUGGCUCAGAUUGAACGCUGGCGGCAGGCCUAACACAUGCAAGUCGAGCGGUAGCACAGAGAGCUUGCUCUCGGGUGACGAGCGGCGGACGGGUGAGUAAUGUCUGGGAAACUGCCUGAUGGAGGGGGAUAACUACUGGAAACGGUAGCUAAUACCGCAUAACGUCGCAAGACCAAAGUGGGGGACCUUCGGGCCUCAUGCCAUCAGAUGUGCCCAGAUGGGAUUAGCUAGUAGGUGGGGUAACGGCUCACCUAGGCGACGAUCCCUAGCUGGUCUGAGAGGAUGACCAGCCACACUGGAACUGAGACACGGUCCAGACUCCUACGGGAGGCAGCAGUGGGGAAUAUUGCACAAUGGGCGCAAGCCUGAUGCAGCCAUGCCGCGUGUGUGAAGAAGGCCUUCGGGUUGUAAAGCACUUUCAGCGGGGAGGAAGGCGUUAAGGUUAAUAACCUUGGCGAUUGACGUUACCCGCAGAAGAAGCACCGGCUAACUCCGUGCCAGCAGCCGCGGUAAUACGGAGGGUGCAAGCGUUAAUCGGAAUUACUGGGCGUAAAGCGCACGCAGGCGGUCUGUCAAGUCGGAUGUGAAAUCCCCGGGCUCAACCGGGAACUGCAUUCGAAACUGGCAGGCUAGAGUCUUGUAGAGGGGUAGAAUUCCGUGUAGCGGUGAAAUGCGUAGAGAUCUGGAGGAAUACCGGUGGCGAAGGCGGCCCCGACAAAGACUGACGCUCAGGUGCGAAAGCGUGGGGAGCAAACAGGAUUAGAUACCCGGUAGUCCACGCCGUAAACGAUGUCGAUUUGGAGGUUGUGCCCUUGAGGCGUGGCUUCCGGAGCUAACGCGUUAAAUCGACCGCCCGGGAGUACGGCCGCAAGGUUAAAACUCAAAUGAAUUGACGGGGCCCGCACAAGCGGUGGAGCAUGUGGUUUAAUUCGAUGCAACGCGAAGAACCUUACCUGGUCUUGACAUCCACAGAACUUUCCAGAGAUGGAUUGGUGCCUUCGGGAACUGUGAGACAGGUGCUGCAUGGCUGUCGUCAGCUCGUGUUGUGAAAUGUUGGGUUAAGUCCCGCAACGAGCGCAACCCUUAUCCUUUGUUGCCAGCGGUUCGGCCGGGAACUCAAAGGAGACUGCCAGUGAUAAACUGGAGGAAGGUGGGGAUGACGUCAAGUCAUCAUGGCCCUUACGACCAGGGCUACACACGUGCUACAAUGGCAUAUACAAAGAGAAGCGACCUCGCGAGAGCAAGCGGACCUCAUAAAGUAUGUCGUAGUCCGGAUUGGAGUCUGCAACUCGACUCCAUGAAGUCGGAAUCGCUAGUAAUCGUAGAUCAGAAUGCUACGGUGAAUACGUUCCCGGGCCUUGUACACACCGCCCGUCACACCAUGGGAGUGGGUUGCAAAAGAAGUAGGUAGCUUAACCUUCGGGAGGGCGCUUACCACUUUGUGAUUCAUGACUGGGGUGAAGUCGUAACAAGGUAACCGUAGGGGAACCUGCGGUUGGAUCACCUCCUU
rnacentral:rRNA from 1 species